CAUUCGUAAAAUAAGUCCCGUGUUGAAAAAAUAUUCAGUUUCUUCCUUUUCCACUUCCUUUUAAGUGUUAAUCUAUCAAUCUCAGCACAUUCUAGUAAUUUUUAUAACACUUUCAUCUGUAGGGGUCUCUUUAUUUUUCCAUUGUUGUGCAAACACAAUUCUUGCUGCCCUUAACACAUGUAAAAUUAAGUAUGUUUUCUCUUUGUUUUACUGAUCUGGUAAUAUACCCAACAAGAAUAUUUCUAGUUUCAAAUCUGUAUGUUGCUUUAUCAUUUUUUCUAACCAAGUAUGUUAGAACAGUGUUG